CCAGGCCCUCCUCCGGAAAGCCGCAACCCCGCGCGAACUUCUUCGCCCGUCUAAUUUUCAGCGAACCACCUGCUACCGCAUCCUCUCCGGCUCCCCUCGAUCUGCUCUACAUCGCCCCAUUAGUUCAGCCGCUGACCAUUCGAUCUACUCCGGUCGUUACUGCAAACAACACAACCCCCUCCCCCCCUGCUUGUCCCGUCCGUACACCAUCUCUUCUUUCCUGCUUCAGGAAAAUAUACUUCUCGGUACAUGUGGCUUGAAGCUGAGUUCCCCAAGGUAAACAGGAGCGAAACACCAUGGUUGAUCACUCUGAUGCAUGCUCCAUGCAUAGGAUAUCAGAUGUCGCAUAGAACAUUGUAAAUGGCUUGUGCUCCCCUGUCCCAGGCCAGUCUUCGCCGGUCUACAUAACCAUCGGGGAUGGGGCUGGCCACCAACAUGUCGGAGCUGCAACCAAGCUACUCGGCGUUUAGGGAGACGAGCUUCGGGCACGCCAUACUGGACACCAAGAACCACGGAAGGAUGAACACACGGCCAGGGUGGCUGACCUGGUGAGCGAGUGACUCUCAGUACAGAGAACAAAUCCUCAAUUUUUGAAAAGUUUUUAUUUCAGUACAGAGAACAAAUCCUCAGUUUUCAUUUCAGUACAGAGAACAAAUCCUCAGUUUUUAUUUCAGUACAUGGAUUGCUUAUACAAACUCAUGGGCUUGGCAAACUCUCACGCACAUCAUCACUAGAUGAUGUUGCAUAAGAUAGAGGUGGAUCUCGAAAUUUCAUUUCCACCAAAGAGUACAUUAAAAAGGCAUUUGUGCUUGAACAAGAAACAACCAUGAGCACUUACAAGUGCAUGAAAGUAGGAGCUAAACAACACAUUGAUGACUACGAGAAGGGUCUUAAAAGUACAUAUCCAGAAGAUUGGAAGGAGCGUGAUCUUGAUCCCGCGGUACUGUAUUCCACCGGUGGUGGCAUGCUUCAUGGAUGGCUUCCGAUAGGUGAUGGCGCGUUCAGGAAGUCACAAGUUGUUGGUGCUGCUAAUAGAAGCAAACAUAAAACCAACAAACUCCAUGUGUUUUUUUAUACCAAUGCUGGACUUCCUGUCCGAAGACCUUCAAGGUGACUCGAUGGAAGACAGAGUUCAUGUGAAUCAAUCUUCCCCAUCUACGGAAAAUGAUAGCACUCCAUUUAUGGCAUCAUCUCCUGCCGAAGAGCAAAGUGAUACUCCCCCAUCAGUCUAGCUUCAUACAGCUCGCAUGGGAGGAGUCACCUAUCUUAGAUGAAUAAUAAGCAUGAAUAUAGCUGGUACGCAUGUAGCGACCAUGCUGGAGUUUGACUUUCCUUUGUGAGCAGUUAUGAACCUGGGUGUUUCUACAUUUGCUUUGUCUCCUCUAUGUUGCCAAAAACAAGUGGCUGUUAUGCAUACAGUACGUGUCAUUAUGGAUCACUGUGUGAUUUGUUCAAUGCGAAAAAGAUAUUGAAUAUGAUUUGUCAAUCUGA